CUUUCAAAUACCAGUAGGAUAUAUUUUUUAUUAAAUAGGGUAAAUCACUACUUGGGCCUAUGGACCCGAUUCCCGGCUCACUGCACAGAAAACUAAGGAUUUAUACUUUUUGGAAGCCGUAGGUUUAUGAUUGAUAAUUUUAAAAAAGUCUCCCAUUUAUUUCGCACAAUACUCAAUAUUUUUCAACCAUUUAUUUCACUCCUAAUUGGUCCAAUUAUAGAAAAUAAAAAUGUAGAUUCCGAACAUUCGCUCUCUGUUGCUACACCACUGAGCCGGAGUGAAUCUUUUCACUUUUACAAAACGGUAUUUUCAUAUAAACACCUACCUGAAAAUCGUCACAGUUCUUGAUACAAUCAUUCCUUGAAGCUGUUAAUCACCACACAAUCCCGCACGGAAGGAUGUCUAAAAGCGAACAGGAAUCUACCUGAAUAGGACGCAAACCACCUUAGCCAAGUUUCAAAAUAAGUUUGGACCCAAACCAAAUGUAUAAUUCCCCUUGAUUUUUUCGAGUGUAUUUGUUUACCUCCUACAUACUCACUGUUGAAUCGGUUUAGCCGGUUUAGCUGUUUAGUAUAGAUCUGAGAUAUUGUCUCGCGCCUUUUGCAGUCGCCAAUUUUCUACUCCCGAAUUCAGAUCGGAAAAGCAGCUGAGAAAUUAUUUAUCUCGAAAAUUGUUCAUGCUCAGUGGUUGCGUGGUAACCAGUUUAUUUAGUAAGAACUGUUAAAAAUAAUUACGGGAUUCGACGGAUUCGACUCGUGCGUUUUGGCGGAGGGGGCAAUGGCAGUGUAAGUGGUCAGCGGAAAAGAUCGAUGGCGUUGCGGCACGUGGAAAAAUUAUACCGUGAACCCGGCCACCAGCAAGGAAGAUGUCAUUGCCCUCGAAAGGUUCCUUGAAAAUAAGAGCUCCUUGUCAAUUGCUACGGUACGAGACUGCUUUGUCUAGUCGUUUUCAGUUCCGGUACCAGCAUAAAUAGUAGUGGAAGCCUGAGCCGCCUUCAAUGGCGUCAUCCUCUUCGUCGAUUUCUUCAUAUCAUCAUUUCCGGGUGUACCUUGAAAGCCGGCGGAGAUAGGGCGAACUGAGUUCCAUACAGGCUGUGAUACAGUUAUAAACCGUUCGGCAAGAAAACAGCUGGUGCUAUGUAAAAUGUACUCCACCUUCGGUAAGGAAUAUAUCAGCAGAAAAGGACGGUUAGGAAAGUUCCGAUCAAUGCUUGCCGAUUGACGUGAAUGUCUGACAACACGGUUCUGAGCAGCGUAACAUGGGACUAUAGCAUAUAUAUUUAUGAAGCUGUCGGUCAGGAUUACUUGGAUUCGGACAGAAUGCGAUUCUCCACCUUGCUUUCUGAUAUGCAUUACAUAUAAUCGGACUAGCGCUUCUUGCUUCCAAUGGGGCCAGACAACAAUUACGCUGGAGUUCGGUCGCAGUCUUGAGGCAACGGACAGUGUCAUAGUGAGGCAUAGUGGAACUAUUUGAUUUGAACCAGAAUUGCAUCCCGGUGGAAAUCCGGUUUGCGACAUCUGGCGGUAAAUACCAUCUGAGGCGACCCCAAAACCGAAGGGGAAAUCCCUGGAUACACGUGGGCGGACACAUCCCGUGAUGAUCGUGACCCAAGUGACCACACGUCGAUUUCAUUGGGACGAGACGUUCUCCGACACAAUCCAAUCGGCGAUGAUACCUGAAAUCGCGAUGACGUGACUCCGUAUGCCAUUCCGUCCCACUACACUUGGGAAUAUUUUAUAGAUCAUCAAACAACUCCGCCGGAUAACCACUUAUUGGCCAUCGUAUAUAUGUAAUUGGCGAUUUCCAAAUGCGGGUGCGCAAUAAAAACCGAGAUUAUUAAUAAAUGUAAAGAAAAAAAAUCAUUUAGAAAUAUAUUUUUUUAUCAAAUUCGAAAUAUAAUGUAAACAUUAGUAAAAAAAAUAAUAAGAAGAAUCGAGGUAUCCAUAUCUCCAUAAUUUCUAGUAAAAAUCUAGGAGAACUGUGGUACCCAUGUCUUCUAGAUAUCUCCGCGUUAUCUAAGAGAACCGAUAUGUCAAAUCCCUUUCGGUUCAAACGGUUUACUCGUCUAAAAUUUGAGGUAGACACCGGUGCAAACGGUUGUUGCAUUUGAGGCGGAUUUGAGGUGUGACAGGUUCUAGAUAUCGAAGAAAAAUAUCUAGGAGACUCAACUUUUUGUCUCAGAGAUAUCGCGGAGAUGUCUAGAACAAAUUUCCGAGCGGGAUAAUUCUAAGCUCACACACUUUAAUCUUUUCUAUUUGUUCGUUUCACAAGAACUAAUAUAAACAUAUUAGAAUACAUUUAAAAAUGUAUUCUCAAACCGAACAAAAAUUCACCUCGGCAUAAGAACUACUAGCCGCACCGUGC